CCUACGGGUGGCUGCAGUGGGGAAUAUUGGACAAUGGGGGGAACCCUGAUCCAGCGACGCCGCGUGAGUGAAGAAGUAUUUCGGUAUGUAAAGCUCUAUCAGCAGGGAAGAAAAUGACGGUACCUGACCAAGAAGCCCCGGCUAACUACGUGCCAGCAGCCGCGGUCAUACGUAGGGGGCAAGCGUUAUCCGGAUUUACUGGGUGUAAGGGGAGCGUAGACGGUGAAGCAAGUCAGGUGUGAAAGGUCGGGGCCCAACCCCGGGACUGCCUUGGAAACUGUUGAACUGGAGUACAGGAGGGGUAGGCGGAAUUCCUAGUGUAGCGGUGAAAUGCGUAGAUAUUAGGAGGAACACCAGUGGCGAAGGCGGCUUACUGGACUGUGACUGACGUUGAGGCUCGAAGGCGUGGGGAGCAAACAGGAUUAGAUACCCGUGUAGUC
rnacentral:rRNA from 1 species